AGAGACUGGGACCAAGUGUUGCUUCCCAAUUUAUGGAAGCUGGGAGAGAAUGAUUGCCAAAUCAUAAUUACAGGAUGUUUCUGUGUCUCCCGAUUUUAUUGAUUGCUGCUGGUGUUACAAAAAGUCCUUCCACAGUCACCUGAUGAUGACUGACAAAGUCACUAUGAGGAAAGCAUCUGCAGAACUAUAAAAUGUUGCAGGAGGUCCAAAUGGUUUCAAAAGAAAAUGGAGUAGUUGUGAGGGACCAAAGUGUUAGUGGUUAGUGACUCAAACAAUCACAGAUGCAUAAAAGCUGCAGGUGCUUUGCUGAGGCCAGGCUUACACCCCCCAGCUGAAGGGGAGGAGGAGAGUUUUUGGAUGUUUGGCAGCUCCUGGAUGAGAAGCAGAAGUCUGCUGACCCUGACCCUAAUGAAAAUCAGAGACAGCAGUGUGCUCACUCCACGCAGUGCUUGCACUGAGUGAUUCAAGGAUUGCUGGUAUAUCACAGUGCUGGAUCUUUGCUGCAGCACAAAAUGGAAUUUCUGAACUUAUAGCUGAUUUGGUUCCACUAACAGCAACAUCCAACUCUGCAAACCCAGCAGCCACAAUAUAAGCACCCAUGUGACUGAGCAUUUACAAGAUGCUCAAAGUCUGCUUCUAACUGUCCUGCCUGGGUGGUGAAGGAGCCAACACAGAGUUGUGGCUUCCAGUUUAUUUCAGGCAAUUGAAUGCCAAUACUGCACCUUUAACCACUGCUCCGCUGGCACGGGCUUGGAAAGGAGGGCAAUACACCUUUAACAGCCUCCUGCAAGGACACAGGAGCACAAGUGUCAGCAUUUCAAACUGAAGUUGCUGCCUACUGGAUUAUGCCAGACAAGAAAAAGAAUUUGGAACCUGCUAAUGGAUGAGGUCAAGCUGAAUGGGAUCUCAAUCAGUUAUCAACAGCUGCAACAGAUCUCAUUACAUUGCUGGUUUUGGGGUUCAUAGCAGUAAUAACUUGGCUGAGAUUCUGUCAACCCAAACUUUAGUAUAUUUUUUCCCCUCUGUUUACUGAAAAUGAUCACUUAAGUUGGAGUUUGGGGUGAUAAAUAUCACUCACUCACCUGAAACAUUACCUUAGAAGGAAGAUAAUGGCUUGCACAUUGAGUCCUAGGUUUACGUUGUCUCUAAGUCUAGAACUUUGACAAUCACUAAAAACCCCCUUGGCUUUGCACAAAGAAUUAUAUUUACUGGAAGUAAGUGAUCCACACUGGCAGACCACCUGAGCAACAAAGCUACUGGGCACUUUGAGCUUAAUGUAUCUUCAGAAUUGUGAUAGUGCACAGAUGCAGGAAACAAAGAGAGCUGUGUAUUUGUGUCUAGCAGCUUGUUUCUUUAUUUUUCAGCUAUAUUUUGCCUAAUAAAAAGGUGUCAGUUUUUCUUCUACACUGUUCGAUUUGCUGCUUUGACAUAUAUGUACACCAGGACAAAUUAGUUUAUUUGCAUUUUUCAGAUGGUUGGAAAGAGACUUUUAGAGGAACAACAAACAUAAACAAUUUCCAAGCCUUUAUGUCCGAAACAUGAUUUUUAGAAAUGCUUCCAACAAUAAAAUGCAAGAAUGUUUUAGAACUAACUACAUGACAACUAGAAAGGAUAGUUAUCGCAGCUCCUAAUAACCUGUGAUGUGAUACAGCUGUUCUGUAAACUGACACUUAUAAUGAGCAGCUCAGAACAUAUAUUAAUUAAUGAAAAAUAAAUAAUGAUGCCAUCUAAAUAUCUUUUCAAGAGGUGGUUUUAUAAUUGUAUUGUGAAGUAAAAUCUAUGCAGUUUCUCUGAACGACAGAAAAUGAACAAUAGUGAGGUGCUACAUGUCUGGAGGAUUUACAUUAAAAGUGAGCUGAAGUUCAGUAAAAUAAGAACAAUGUGUCUAUUUCUUACCACUUAAAUGUCUGAUAUAUUAAUGCAAAGGAUGAUUACAGCCAUUAAACAUGGAUCAAUCUACAUUUUAGCCAUCUAAAUGUACCAGACAUGCACAACAAUUACAAGAAAAAUACCGAUUGAUUUAUGUUGUAGAGUUAUCACCAGAUGCAUUUAAAAGUAAGGCAUCAGUUUAAAAAUAUGAAUAUCAGGGAGACAUGAAUUCCAUCCACGAAGCAAACAAUUUUGUUUCAUCACAAUAAGCAUCAUUGACCUUGACUGUGAAUGGUGUAUUUUUAAACUAGCAGUAGGAAGAUGAUUCAAUCUCUGCAGUUUUCUGCUAAGAUGGAAAUGUUUUGUUUUAAGCAGGCCUUAUUCAAAAGCAUUUCUCUUUUCAGUAAGUAAUCAUUACAAGAGAUGAGAGACAAAUAUAUGAAUAUGACCGAUUAAAAAGUUUUAUAUGUGACAAAAUAAGCAAUAUGCAUUAGAGAUUUGUCAAGAUAUUUUAAACAUAUCACUAAGCCUGUGGAAUAAAAGAUGAAAUAAA